rnacentral:lncRNA from 1 species
AUUUUAGCUGGUUCAGAACAUCUUCAGAGUCUUGGUUUAGCUAAUACCGACGUGCUGAAAAUCAUUAAAGUAAUUGUUUCGGUCAUGUUGGUUUGGUUUGUUCGUUUUUUGUUUUUCCUCACCUUUUGUAUGAACCACGUGUUCGUUUUUUGUUUUUCCUCACCUUUUGUAUGAAUCACGUGACGUAUUAAUAUUGCAUGUUUUUAGGAUAAUUUCGACCAAACAAUUCAGUUUACAGUGUGCUGUACUAUCUCCCCUGGUUUGAUUUGAAAUGUGUUGCUCGG